rnacentral:rRNA from 1 species
UACGAAGGGGGCUAGCGUUGCUCGGAAUCACUGGGCGUAAAGGGUGCGUAGGCGGGUUUUUAAGUCAGAGGUGAAAUCCUGGAGCUCAACUCCAGAACUGCCUUUGAUACUGAAAGUCUUGAGUGAUGGAGAGGUGAGUGAACUGCGAGUGUAGAGGUGAAAUUCGUAGAUAUUCGCAAGAACACCAGUGGCGAAGGCGGCUCACUGGCCCGAUACUGACGCUGAGGCACGA